AGCCGCAUUGAUUGGAUCGGGAAACUCAUCAAUUUUUAUGAAAUACCGAGACAAGCUUCGUUUCUUAAUGGCGGGCCACACCUUUCGGGGUACUUUUAGUCAGUGGAUUACAAAGAGGACGGGCACUCAAAUCAUGUCAUUCGGAGUUUCAUCACAUCAUCGGUGCGGCUUCUUU
rnacentral:sRNA from 1 species